CCCAUCAAUAGCUUCUUCAACCCGGGGUUAGCAGCAGGAUCAGCCGCCGUAUCCACCACCACCUCUGUUACCAAGCAAAUAUCGAUAGUGGUAAACAAGAAUGAAGUGCUAGCAGCCAAAGUAUGGUGGGCCCUGAAAGUGGCGAACUCCCACAAAUUCUUAAAAGUCAUGUGAAGAGGUGAAUAGAAAAUACAUUGGCUCUGAAUUCAUGGGACAUUCCUCUGCUGUCGAUAUACUUAGCUCCGAUUCUUAUUUUGCUAAGAACCUGCUGCAACUUUCACUUGGAAGUCCCAAUGUCAACUGGAAGGUGUUCAACAUACUACAGAAGAACAUGUUGAGAGAUGUCAACAAAUCACAGAUCAACAUUGGGUCCUGUGUAUUGUACAUCCUGCAUAACGCAUUCCUUGAUAGAUGCAAAGCCGCUGACUGGGAUGUAGAACACACACUCAAGUCUUUUGUAUUUUUUACAAUUUCCCUGCAUGUAACGUAGACUUGGUAGGAGCCACAGGUUGUAGCACUAGCGUGCUUUGGUUCUGCGAGCACUGGAUAGAAAAUGUCAAUGUUUCAGGCUGCGGACUGCUGCUCUGGCCUCACGGGAAACAGUACGUGGAGAUGGUGAGAAAAGGAGAACUACCCAAUCCAAAGUGCAAGUCUUUUGACUUAGUGAAUGACAGCUGUGCUGCUUUCCCUGUGAAAGUAGGCAUCUUCAAUGGCAUUGCCAGACAAAUCACCCCCUUCCUCACCAUGUACAAACCCAAACUGCCCUUCCUGAGUGAGGACAUGUUAAAAAUGACGAAAGGUAAAGAAAUAUGGAUAAUUAUUGAUAAGUUGACCACAAUUUGUAUGUGUGUGAUACGAUUGAUACAGUAUUUACGGUGCUUUGUCUUCCAAAUACAUGGGACAGAAAGGAUCAUUCCUCGUGCUGUUUACUAAAAUAAAGUAUUAAUCAAACAAUCGUCACAUUGUGAUUUAUUUGGGCUGUUUUAUGUGUACAUUAAUGGAAUGAAAACAGUGUUAAAAUGUCAUCUAGAAUCCAAGUUUCCUAUCUGAGCUUAAACUAAAGAACAAUAUUCAAUAGCUCACAGCUCAUGGAACGCUUGUGAAGAAAAACACCUUGAAAGAAGCCACCUCAACACGGAAGCUCCUCCAAGUUCCAUUUGAGGGACAGCAGUCAGCGCAAGGACAGUUCAAUGAUUAACACUGGAUUUGCACCAGAAACAACCCUACAUCAAUUCAAAGUUUCCAGAAAGAUUACAGAGAGGCAGGUGCUGGAGAUCAAGAUGGACUGCAGGAGACUCGUGAUCACACUGCUGGAGAAGGUCAUGAAGAAGGCUCCAGUGCACCACCAUAUGGUGAGAAGCAUGCAGUGCUUCGAGCCAAGACGGAUGGCAAUAUCCAAACAGCUGUGCGUACCACAGAUAAAGAGAAUACUGCUUACACUCGUUACUGCCAACCAUGUGGAGGAGCCCGUGUGUGACGAUGUUCUGAGAGAGUUCAGAGAGAUUUGUGACGCUGCUGCACUCCAAGCCAGCGUCAGAGAUUUUGACCCCAAGACAAACCGGGUGGACACACUCCUGCAGGAGACCAUGGGAUCAAAAGAUGCCUUCUCCAGGCUGUGGGAUGUUGUUCAGAUGCUGUUUGUCCUGUCUCAUGGACAGGCUAGUGUUGGAGAGGUGACUCUCAAACUAUAAGGAGGUUGUGGUAGAGAAUCAGAAGGAGAACACACUGGUGGCUCUGAGGCUCAUUGUUGAUCACGUCAGAGACGUUGGGGGUGUAACCUAGUUACAGAGUACGUUUCUGGAAAACAGACAAAGUAAUCUACAGAUCACCAAAGAGCUGUUGAUGUCGGCCGCAGGAGCAAGGCUGAGGUACCAUGGGUGCUUGGAUGAGCAGAAAAGACUGAAGGAGAGACAAGUCAUCGACCUGAAGAGAAUGGGUCUUAUUGAUGAGCUGGAUGACUUGAAGAAGAAGAGGCCCAGGGUGGGAGUGCUCUUGAAAAAUCAGUUGAGGGAUAUGCAGAGAAGGCAGAUGCUACAAGCAAACGGGCUUACAUCGCAAAAUCCAUCCGUUUCUGAAGGCAUCUCUGCUGGAGAUUGAAAAACAGAUCAAAGAGAAACUUGUAGCAAUGAAAAACUAAGCUGCCAAAUACUCUUCAGUUUAUCUCUGGACAUUCAAGAAUAAAAAAACACUUGGAAUGUGUGUUCAGUUUAUCAGGCUGAAAGUUGUGUGUUUUCCAGGGGCAUGAGGGUUGUCCUAACCCUAUCCUUGCUGUGUGUGUGUGUGUGUGUGUGUGUGUGUGUGUGUGUGUGUGUGUGUGUGUGUGUGUGUGUGUGUGUGUGUUCCAGGAGCAUGAGGUUUUUCAUAACCCUACCCCCUGCUCUGUCAUCAGCGUUCGUGCGUGUAAAAAAUAUCUCUGGCACUAUCCGGGACAGUCAAAAAAUGUUAAUAGUAAGUUAAGUUUAAAUGUGAAACAACUUCUUCAGGUUUGCGUGUGUGUUUUUAAAUCCAACUGUCAGACCACAAAAAGAAAGCACUUAUAUUGUAUCUGUUAAGGUAUUCCUGUCCACAAAUAAUUUACAAGUGUUUAUUAUUUUAAUCAAGCUGUUAGAAAUAAGCCUUGCAUCAUUUGACACUCAUUGACUAGUGUCAAUACCAUAUUUUUUUAUGAACACAGAGAUGCCACCAAUGAUUGGUCAUAGAAAUGUGGUUAAAAGUCAUGGAAAAGUCCUGAAAUUUAAUCUGUCAAAAUAUGUAUGAACCCUGCAUUGGUAUGCUUGUAAUCAUUAAAGAAUGGGGAGUUUUUCA